UUUCUUUGUGUAUAUCUUUUAUACAGUGAGGAGGAAGCAAGAAUGAAGAUAUAUUCAGUUUCUACCAGGCACUACUAUGCAUUUGGAGGUCUUGUGUCUGAAGAGGUCUCAUAUAAGAUCAAAUAACUUAAAAGGAGUUCGGUGGGUUUAUCCUGAUUCCUACUUGGAUGUGAAGAAUAAGGAGACCCUUUCAUCCAUGGGCAAGCAGUUCCAUAUGAUCCGAAGUAUCAUGAGCCUUUAGCAGCUUACCUACAAAGUGGGAAGCAGCAAAAUUCUUGCCGUAUUGCUGGAUUUUGUGCCUCAUGUGCUAUCCAGAAACAUGUUAGCCGUGCUCUUCAAUCAACUGGGAGAAUAUUGGCUCCGAAUGAUGAUCUGGCCUCAAACCUUCGAUGCAUAUCUCCGAAUGAUGAGCCCUUGCUAGAUUUGAGUCUUGAAAUAGCUAAGGCCGAUUCGUUGCUUCAAGCACUCAAAAACUUCACUGCUGCGGAGCUUUAGGACGGAGGGGAGAAGCAGUAUCAAUGCCAACGCUGCAAGCAGAAAGUUAGGGCAACGAAACAGAUCACAGUUUACAUUACAAAAGCACCUCAUGUACUCAACAUCCAUCUAAAGAGAUUUCCUGCACAUGAAAUCUGUUGUCAGUG